rnacentral:lncRNA from 1 species
CCCAGCUCUGGCAAAAUGGCAGUGCGUAGUGGUGGGUGAAAAGGGACUCUGAUCUCAGGCCUCUCUUCUCCAUUUUCUAGGAACCAAGUGAAUUCUAGUGGCAAGAAGAGAAGAGGAAUGAAGUCAUCAGUAUCUUACUGCUGGGAGCAGCGGGUUACGAAACCCCUGUCUGCGAUGUGGCAAGUGCACUGUGAGGCCCCCUGACCCUCUCAACCCCAUCCUGCAGACCAGGUGAGCUCUUCAGGACUCCUCCGGACGGCAGUCACUGGCCCAGAGUCGUUGCUUCAGGAGGAGGGCUCUCCCUGCAAAAGCUGAUCUGCAUUUCUGCUGGGAUCGAUGCCGUGGAGACUGCAUACUUGGAGUCAUCUGGUGAAAGAAACAAGCAAAACCUGCCUUCUGGAUCCCAAGAUCACAUUGUCCAGUGUGGUAAGGAAAUUAAGAUGUUUCUUUUAAAGUUCUUGAUGGGCUCACCAGGUCUGAAGUGGGCAGACAUUAUUUCUGAUGAGUAAUGAUGGUUCUGCAGGCAGACCGUGUCUUCUGGAAGUCUAUGUUCUGGGUCCUUCUCAGUAUUUGUAGCGUAUCAAGGGAAGAAUAGUACCCAUUGAAAAUUAAUCGGAGUGUUUGUCUUCUCUUGGUCAAGUUUACUUUAAAAAGAAAUAGAUGACUAAUGCAUAUAUGUUAAGCUUUGUACUGUGCUUCUUGGUUAUCAUAUAUCAGGGGGUGUUGGAUCUGGAGCUCCAAGUCUCCGCUGAGCCUUUGCACUUUUCUUUGAAGACUUGAUAUCAUACGAUCUCACUCUGUCCGUUUUGCUCCUGCGAUAUACUUGGACUUCUCUAGUUUCUGUUUUCGUUUUUUCCCCUGGUUGUUUCUCCCCAUAAGUAAGGUUCUAUUUAUGUCACUCCCAUUUUGUUGUUGUUGUUGUUCUUUGCCAACUUACAAUGCAAUAAUGGCAUUUGUUGUAUUUUUUGCGUGAUCCCUAGAAGGACAUUUAUAAAGAGUUGCAAUUUAGAAUUACAAGUUAUGUCACAAAAUUAUGGAAUAUUUAGAGCAAAAGAUACUUAAAACACUAUCCGCCAAUUAUUUAGAAAUAACCACAGUUGUCACUGUUUGCUAUCAAUUUCGUAUGCUUUCUUGUCAUAUUACACAUCCAAUUUGAAAUUCGGACUUUAAAGAGCUUACUUAAGUAAGUAAGUAAGUAAGUAAGUGCCAAACUUAAAAAGCACUAUAAAGCUAUUCAGUGAAAUGUAUGUAUCUCUUCCUCUGUCCCUUGCCCCAUGACAACUAUUUCCCUUUCAAGGAGACAUCUGGUGUUUCUGGGUUUCUAAUUUACUGGACUUCUUAAACUAUUUUCAGUGUCUAUCGUCUGUUUCUAUAUUAAGCAGCGAUUUGUUGAGUCAAAAGCUGACUUUAUCGCUUGUUACACAGGGGGAGAGAGCGUGCGUAGUGCACGUUCUAGCCAAACAAAGCACAAGCUGAUCUGGUAUAGGGUGGGGAAGCACUGACUCCUGG